GACGAACGCUGGCGGCGUGCCUAAUACAUGCAAGUCGAGCGAAGUUUUUCUGGUGCUUGCACCGGAAAAACUUAGCGGCGAACGGGUGAGUAACACGUAAAGAACCUGCCUCAUAGACUGGGACAACUAUUGGAAACGAUAGCUAAUACCGGAUAACAGUAUUAACUGCAUGGUUGAUGUUUAAAAGUUGGUUUUGCUAACACUAUGAGAUGGCUUUGCGGUGCAUUAGCUAGUUGGUGGGGUAAAGGCCUACCAAGGCGACGAUGCAUAGCCGACCUGAGAGGGUGAUCGGCCACACUGGGACUGAGACACGGCCCAGACUCCUACGGGAGGCAGCAGUAGGGAAUCUUCCGCAAUGGGCGAAAGCCUGACGGAGCAACGCCGCGUGAGUGAAGAAGGAUUUCGGUUCGUAAAGCUCUGUUGUUAGGGAAGAAUGAUUGUGUAGUAACUAUACACAGUAGAGACGGUACCUAACCAGAAAGCCACGGCUAACUACGUG
rnacentral:rRNA from 1 species